UACGAAGGUCCCAAGCGUUGUUCGGAUUUACUGGGCGUACAGGGAGCGUAGGCGGUUGGAUAAGCCCUCCGUGAAAUCUCCAGGCUUAACCUGGAAAGUGCAGAGGGGACUGUUCAGCUAGAGGAUGGGAGAGGAGCGCGGAAUUUCCGGUGUAGCGGUGAAAUGCGUAGAUAUCGGAAGGAACAUCAGUGGCGAAAGCGACUCCUGGACCAAUACUGACGCUCAUGUGCGAAAGCGUGGGGAGCAAACAGG
rnacentral:rRNA from 1 species